rnacentral:rRNA from 1 species
UCUGGAAAGGCGCGCGAUACAGGGUGACAGCCCCGUACACAAAAAUGCACAUGCUGUGAGCUCGAUGAGUAGGGCGGGACACGUGGUAUCCUGUCUGAAUAUGGGGGGACCAUCCUCCAAGGCUAAAUACUCCUGACUGACCGAUAGUGAACCAGUACCGUGAGGGAAAGGCGAAAAGAACCCCGGCGAGGGGAGUGAAAAAGAACCUGAAACCGUGUACGUACAAGCAGUGGGAGCACGCUUCGGCGUGUGACUGCGUACCUUUUGUAUAAUGGGUCAGCGACUUAUAUUCUGUAGCAAGGUUAACCGAAUAGGGGAGCCGAAGGGAAACCGAGUCUUAACUGGGCGUUAAGUUGCAGGGUAUAGACCCGAAACCCGGUGAUCUAGCCAUGGGCAGGUUGAAGG